rnacentral:rRNA from 1 species
GUGCCAGCAGCCGCGGUAAUACAGAGGGGGCGAGCGUUGUUCGGAAUUACUGGGCGUAAAGGGCGCGUAGGCGGCCAACUAAGUCAGACGUGAAAUCCCUCGGCUCAACCGGGGAACUGCGUCUGAUACUGGAUGGCUUGAAUUCGGGAGAGGGAUGCGGAAUUCCAGGUGUAGCGGUGAAAUGCGUAGAUAUCUGGAGGAACACCGGUGGCGAAGGCGGCAUCCUGGACCGAGAUUGACGCUGAUGCGCGAAAGCCAGGGGAGCAAACGGGAUUAGAUACCCCCGUAGUCC